rnacentral:lncRNA from 10 species
AGGUGUGUGGUGUUUUCCUGCUGCCCACCUUUCCAGGUGGAGAAAGAAAUGGGUCCUGGCUCCAGGAAGGGGGGAAACCAUGUCCCUGUACCGUGCCUCAGUUUCCCCAUCUGUACACUGUGGAAUGGCAGUGCGUGGGCAGGGCAGGCAGAGGGGCCGCCCCACAGUGCCAGCCUGUGUGCACCAGCUCUGUUGUCACGGCUGCCCAGCGCCCGGAGCUUAGUGAGGUUAGAGCUUUUCAUCGUUCUCCUUCCCCUACAAACCUACAAACUCAAAAGUUAAUAUAGUAGCGUGUCUUUGCUCUUUUAAACCAAUGACGUAAGUCACUUCACCAGUUUGCUUUACACCGGUUAAUCAAUUACUGAACAGUUGCAGUAUCCUCCUCUCUUUUGCUGUUAGCUGGUGCUAACUGAAGUAAAAGCGAGUGUCAUCUCUCCGGCCCUCACCGCUGCCUUCACCACCAUUUACCCACGCGGAUGUUGAGCUUCCCGCCAGGGCUCAGGGAGCUCACAGUGGGAAGCAGAGGGCUUGAGAAGGGGUGGCUCUGCCUGACACUCCCCGGCUCCCAGCUGGGCCCACUUCCAGGUAGUGGGUUGGGGCAGGACCCGCAGGGCACAGUGCUUCCCCUGCCCUUCCCCACGGGGUUGGAGGCUCUGGAGGCAGCACCCUCCCUGGGGAAUCCUGGGGAUUCAGGAACAUCCCGAAGGUGCUCAUUUUCAUCCGUGGUUAAAUGCUGAGUUUGUCUUGGCUGCUGGGUUGAGCCCUGGAGCCACAUCCUGGCCGGAGCAGCUCUCCCGUCUAUAGGUCCUGGCCCACCUUGCCCCUUGUGCUUCUGCACUGGCGCCCCUUGUGCUUCUGCACUGGCACCCCUUGAGAGGGCAGCUUGGGCAAAAGAAAGGCUUGCUUUUGAGUAAAUUGGUGGCAGACCCCUCUCAGCGAACUUCAGCCCACUUGCUUUUGGAAAAUGACUCUGCGUGUUAUUAUGUUUUGCAAGACAUCAAAGGAUGUGGAAAAUCCAUUAUAAAUACCAGGCAGGUAUCUGACAGGCACCACAACCUGAGCAUGUGUAGAUGGACGCUGGUUUCUUCUGCUCUCUGCCUCAUCUCAGGUCCGGCCCUGCCACCUGUCCAGGGGCUUAGCCCAGAACCCCAGAAUCUGCUUUGAUGCCCCCGGGUCUGCAGGCAGACUUUGCUCUCGAAGGCACCUGAGUCUCACCUCCUUGGCCGUCAGCUUGGCACAAGUUACCCUGGCUGCUCCCCAGACUGUUCCCAUGGCCUGGCCCUGGCCGGGGACUCCCACUCUGCUUGCGGUCCUGAAGACAGCCAGAGAGGCCUUUGAGAGUGGAAGGCAGACACCAUAUGCCACCGCCCCCAGCUGACACUCAUAGGGGCUGCCCCUCAUGCUCUGGAUAAAACUCCGACUGGCUACUGUGCCUCUUUGGGUCUCCCCGGCCCAGGCCUGGCCAGGGGUUCCAGCCUUCACCAGGGGAAGGAGCAUCUGUGAGUCCAGGGAGUGUGCCUGGCCCAAUGCCUCUGCCCAGGGCCUUUGUGCCUGCCGUCCCCUCCCCAAUUCCACGCCUCCUGUUGCCCUCCGCAGAGGCACCUCUCCCGUGACCUCCAAGCACACCACCCACUAAAUCUCCGCCCUUCCUCUGCCUGCCUGCCCUCCCAGCACAGCCACUCUGUCCGCUCAGGCUCCUGAGCUGCUUACUUGUUCACCUGUCUUCUGCUGGAGACCAGGGAGCCCUCCCCUCGCUGGCUGUGGGGUCUGGGAACAAAGCAGUCUUAAUAAAUACUUCUCGAAAGAAUGGAGUAUGUGGUUGAAUAAAUAAGUCCCAGACAGGAGUUCCUUCUAAAAUGGUCUAGUUCAGGCUUCUCAGUUGCAGGUGGGGAAACUGAGGCCCUGAGCGGGCGGAGGUGGAGGGAAGUUGAGUGGCCCUGCCUGCAUCUCCCACCAGCGCUACCUCGCAUCCUCCUACAGCAUGCGAG